GGCAUUCUAAAAUCAGAUUUGUCUAUCCUUUUUAAUUUCUUUGUUUUUCUUGUUGUUUGGCUUUGUAGAAUUUAUGUCUUUUGAGUUCUUUGUGUUUUGCUUGUUGGGUGAAUUUCUUGGCUUCUAUAUAUAUUAAUCGAGUCUUAAUUUCUUUAAUCCGUUUUGUUCGAAUUUCAUUCAUUAAAUAUCUAAUUCAUGUUUUGUACUUUAUGAUAAUUUUUGUUGAACUCUUUGUUACAGUGUUUGGGUAUACAAAAUGUUUUAGGAAAUCCUUGUUUGGGAGGUUUUCUUUUAAUUGCUACCAAGUGUUUGUUAUUUUGACUGUUUGAUAGUAUAAAUGUUAUUUUGCUUAGUUUGUGUUAUUU
rnacentral:misc_RNA from 1 species